GAUGAACGCUGGCGGCGUGCCUAAUACAUGCAAGUCGAGCGAACGGACGAGAAGCUUGCUUCUCUGAUGUUAGCGGCGGACGGGUGAGUAACACGUGGAUAACCUACCUAUAAGACUGGGAUAACUUCGGGAAACCGGAGCUAAUACCGGAUAAUAUUUUGAACCGCAUGGUUCAAAAGUGAAAGACGGUCUUGCUGUCACUUAUAGAUGGAUCCGCGCUGCAUUAGCUAGUUGGUAAGGUAACGGCUUACCAAGGCAACGAAGCAUAGCCGAACUGAGAGGGGGAUCGGCCACACGGGAACUUAGACACGGUCCAGACUCCUACGGGAGGCAGCAGUAGGGAAUCGUCCGCAGUAGGCGAAAGCCUGACGGAGCAACGCCGCGUGAGUGAUGAAGGUCUUCGGAUCGUAAAACUCUGUUAUUAGGGAAGAACAUAUGUGUAAGUAACUGUGCACAUCGUGACGGUACCUAAUCAGAAAGCCACGGCUAACUACGUG
rnacentral:rRNA from 1 species